UACGUAGGGUCCGAGCGUUGUCCGGAAUUAUUGGGCGUAAAGAGCUCGUAGGCGGUUUGUCGCGUCUGCUGUGAAAUCCCGAGGCUCAACCUCGGGCCUGCAGUGGGUACGGGCAGACUGGAGUGCGGUAGGGGAGAAUGGAAUUCCUGGUGUAGCGGUGGAAUGCGCAGAUAUCAGGAGGAACACCGAUGGCGAAGGCAGUUCUCUGGGCCGGAACUGACGCUGAUGAGCGAAAGCGUGGGGAGCAAACAGG
rnacentral:rRNA from 1 species